rnacentral:lncRNA from 1 species
GCCCUUAGGGUUAGUGUGAGCAUUGUUUGGGGUCCCACAGCCCUUAGGGUCAGUGUGAGCAUCAUUUAGGGUCCUGCUGUCCUUAGGGUCAGUGUGAGCAUCAUUUGGGGUCCCACAGCCCUUAGGGUCAGUGUGAGCAUCCUUUGGGGUCCUGCUGUCCUUAGGGUCAGUGUGAGCAUCGUUUGGGGUCCUGCCCCCUUAGGGUCAGUGUGAGCGCUGUUUGGGGUCCCAGUGCUCUUAGGGCUGGUGUGAGCACAGUCCCACUG